rnacentral:lncRNA from 1 species
AAACCUCGGGUGAGCCAAUUAAGAACAAAUGGCGCAGUUACAGAAGACAGGAUGCAACCCUGCCACCUAUCUCUCUCUUUCAGGUGGUAAUCGUGUACCCAUACCACAGGACACUCCCCUUGGGUGCAUCUGCCAAACUGGGAAAAGGGUCCGUGUGCCUAAUUCUUCCUGGUUGUGUGACAAGACCUCGGACUGAGCUGAGCUAAGGAGCAGAAAAACUGCAACAAUAUGAGGGAAAAGACAGAAGGCAGACUGUGACAAAUGAAUUUAACUGUACUACAGAUGAAUUAGAUAACCACAAUGAAGAAGAUGGAAAGAAAGUUGAUGAUCUCCAUAACUUUAGAAAAUGCUUUGGCUUAAUAAUGCAAGGCUAAGGACAAAAAAGACCUCAGUGGACUUGUUCCAAGGAAAAGGAAAGAGGGAUGGAGCAUGGUUUUAUGGCAGCCUUUCCCCAGAAUGAAAUAUACUUUGAGCACAUGAGCUCAUGAGCAGGAGAAAACUGAUCGGAAGGACAUGAUGGCCAUACAAACCUUGUCCUGUAUAUUUUCUAAAAUUAUAUAUCC